CUCAGCAGAGCAUUGAUACUUUUAUUAACAGUCUGAAUUCAUAAAGUAAUCCAACAAAAUCCCACAAGCGGCUGCCUCAGGGUUAGAGACAUCACAAACAGUUGUCAGGAAAAAUGAAGAUGUUGACUUAUCUAUGAAACUCAGAAACCUCUUCAAAAUGCCUCCAGUCCAUCACCCAUCAAGAUCUUCAAUUCGGGGACAUAGAACAUCAAAAUCAAGGGAUCAAAUGAAAGCUGGAUCGUCAAAGCUAAUAGUCACCAGUCAACCCAUCCACAUGGUCUCCACCAUGUCUACCCACAAUGCCUCAGUUCAUCCAGCUCCUGGUUCCUUUGAAGACCUGCUGGACCACAUUCCCUUGCCGCGAUGGGCAAUCUAUGCAAUCUUUGGAAUGGGAGGCCUCAUUAUUCUGCUUUGUUGCCUCUGCAUCUGCAUUAAAUGUUGCUGCAAAAAGAAGAAGAGACAGAAAAAGGAUCAGCAAAUCCUUUUCAAGGGGUUAGAUGGAAAAACAGCCACAGCUCUGGUUCAGCCAGAUAUGGAGGAUGUUGACUACGGUUCAGUCAAACAAUAUAGAGGAAAGCUGCUCUACUCUUUGGAGUACAACGCCACUUUAUCUGAGCUUACAGUGGGGAUCAAACAAGCUGAAAGCCUGAAGGCGAUGGAUUUAGGCAGGAGUUCUGAUCCAUAUGUCAAAGUCUACAUCCUCCCUGAUAAGGCCAAGAUCUUUGAGACGAAAGUGUUCAAAAACACAUUAAACCCCUUCUUCAAUGAGCAGUUCACCUUCCAGCUAUCUAAGCCCGCUCUUCAGAAGUCCACAGCCGUGAUGAAGGUGUUCGACUUCAACCGGUUCACCAAACAUGAGAUCAUCGGCGAACUCAGGGUCCAGCUCUGCAACAUUGACCAGAAUCACGUUAUUGAGGAGUGGCAGGACCUGGCAAAGCCCGCCAAGUUUGAGGAAGAGAACUUAGGGGAGAUCUGCUUCUCUCUGUGUUAUGUUCCAACAAGCAGCAAGCUCACCGUGGCGAUCCUGGAGGCCAAAGACCUAAAGAGCAUGGACCUGGGAGGAAGCUCAGAUCCAUAUGUGAAAGUACAGCUGACUUUGGACAAAAGGAAGUGGAAGAAAAGAACAACAUCUAUUAAAAAGAAAAGUCUGAACCCCUAUUUCAAUGAGUCUUUUACUUUUGAUGUGUCACUGGAUCAAAUACAGAGGGUGAACCUGGUGAUUUCAGUUUGGGACCACGAUGCCAUGAGCAGGAACGACAGCAUGGGAAAACUUUUCCUGGGCUGCGAUUCCACAGGAAAUCAGCUGAGGCACUGGGCCGACAUGUUGUCCAACCCGCGGCGACCGGUCGCUCAGUGGCACAACCUGCUGUCGGCUGAGCAGGUCAACGCCAGCCUGGGACUGAAAAAGAAAAUCCCUGUUCCCAGCAAAUUUAAAGAAAAUAAUUUGCUAAAAAAACAUUUUAAAUAGACAAGAAAGUAUUUUGAAAAAAAUAUUUUCUGGUGUAUCAGUAAUGUUGAUCACCCCUGCUGUAGGAUAUGUAUGUAGGACUCACAUUUGGGCAACAAAAUUUGAUCACAUUUAGAAUACCUCAGCAAUUUUGUAAUACUGUAUUUUAUCCAUGUAAAAAUAUCCCUGGUUACAUUCUCAGGCAAAAUCUGUGCAAACCAGAGUUUGGAUUUUGAUUUACACAAAGAAAAUCUCAUUUAAUAGUUCAUCAGGCCAAAUAAUGUGUCUGAGCAUGGAUUUUUGUAAAAUUCACCCAGAUUUACAAUUGAAUUCACAUUUUAAGCACUCAUGUCUCCUGAACAUUUUCACAUUUUAUGAAGGUACAGCCACAAACUUAAAUCUAUUUCAUUAUGGUUUUAUAUAACAGCAUGAUUGUAAAGAGAGAGCAAAAUGCAUUGUUUUCAAUUUUAUAUUUUUAGCUUUUAUAAAUAAAUAUAUGUAAAAAGUGUGUCAUACAUGUGUAUACGUUGUUGAAUCAUGUCUCAUGUCUUUAGAGUAUGUCCACCAUUAGUGUUUUGAAAAGAAUAUGGAGAAACGUCUGAUGCAGAUAUUAUGCAUAGUGCUGAUGCCAAACUGUUAGCUUUAUAUCUGUAAACAGCAGGAUAUCUCUCUCUAAUUGUGCCUCUAUGGACAGAUGGAACUCAGAGGAAGCUUAUUGUUGCUGAUUUAUGACUGAAAUAUUCUGUUGUUUUCAGCAAUACUUAUGUAACUUCAAGCUUGCCUUGCUUACUUAGAAAAAAAAUGUCCAGAUCAAUAUCAUUAAUGUUUCUCCCCUUUCCCGAAACAAUAGCUCAUCCUUAUUGUUUUUUACAGUCUGCAUUUGUAGAAUACAAUUUAAAUGUGUAUUUUUCAUAGCGCUGAGAAAUACCUCCUAUACCACUUGAUAUUUCUGGCUGCUGCCACAGUAAAUCAGGGUGUAACUCUCUUGAUUAUGAUCAGAUACAUCACCAUUAAGAGAAGUCAACUCCGAGUUUAUUCAUGUACCGGUACUCAAUCUGUUGGCCCUCCUUUCUAAAAUUGUAACAAAUUUUUUAAAUAUUUUUGAUAAUUAAAGUAUUAGGAAU